GCUGGAGGUUCCUAUCUAUCUGUGGCCUUCUGAAGCCACAAGGUUCCAAGGCUGGAAACAUGAAGACCCAUUUCCCCUACACAUCCCACGGUGAGGGAAGCAACAUGGUCAUACAUCGCCCCUUUUUUUCCCCAAAUUUCCAUUUCAUUGCUAUCACCUGGUGCUGCUGCAGCAAUAGAUUGGGCAAGCAGCAAUGGUAUGGAAGCCUCCUUCAAGUGCUCUGGGGGAGGAAAAAAAGCACCUUUUUGGAAAUUGCAUCAUCUGUCACAUUGCAGCAGGCAGGGCUGAGAGCACAGGAAUGGCAGCAGCCAGGCUCCCCUGGUCGAUACAAAAGCUCAAAUUGCAGGAAGAGUUAUCCCCAGACAGACCUUCCCUGGCACGGUCCCCCCCAGGGCUCUGUUCUCCUUUGUUGGUGGUUGGUGGCACUUUUGAUCACAACCCAAAGUGGACAGGUUUCUGCUUUGAGCUACAUGGAUGGAGCAGGGAAAGCCAUCGCUUCCACCGCAACUUCUGGAAAACGCUUGUUGGAAUUUUUAUUGCUACCUCAAACUGGACAAGACCCAUCCCAUGAAUAUUUUUUUUUGAAAGUGGAAAUCCUUUACCUUUCAUGUUUGUUAUGGGAAAAAAUCAAAGUGUUUUUUUUUUGCCAAGAAAAGGUUCUUUUCUCUCUGCUACGCGUCCUCUGCUGGAAGAACUUUGAGCAGAAACUCUUCAACGUGCUCCUGCUGCGGAUACCCUCCUGUACAGAGCACGUCUGCUACAAGCAGCUGGAUUAGCUCCAGAAUUCUCUCCCCGUCUAUGCUUGACGGCAGGGAAAAAACUGGGAUCACAGAAUCACAGAAUGGCUUUGGUUGGGAGGGACCUUAAUGAUCAUUGAGUGCCAACCUCUCUGCCAUGGCAGGGUUGCCAGCCACCAGAUAACCACUGGAUCUUCCCUUCCCAAACUCUCAGCAGAUGCCACAUCCCCUGGCACUGCUCAAUAUUACCCAAAGCAAAGGCUGAUGAAGGCAAAGUGAAGUCACCAGACUUGGAGACAGAUUGUGGGAAUGGAGGAGAUAAAUCCCGAGCACACAGCCUGCAUGGGGAGAGGAAGACAAAUACUGAAAUAAAUAUGAGAAGAAGACAAAUUUGGGCUACAGGGAGCGGGUGAGCCAGAGAGAGAGAGGAAAUUGCACUAAAAUAGACGAGGUUUCCUGGAGACAAAGGUAAAAUUGGGAAAAAUGAGAUCUAAACUGAAGGGGGAUAAAUCACAAGGGUAGCAAUGUCUGAAAAUUAUUGGGAAUGAAGCCUUCCUGGUAAGUGAGACAUCCCCAGCAAGACAGAUCUGCUGCGAGCAACAAAUACAGCUGCGGUGACAAGGACAAAGCCAAGCAGGGAACGGGGUGGUGAGCUCUGCCUCCUCCCAGAGGGCUCUCUCUGGCUGCAUCCCAUGUGCUUCAGGCUGCAGUUAUCUCCCCAGAGUAUAAACUGAGGAGUGAAAUGAUUUUAUGAUGGGGAGUGGGUAUUCUCAAGUCUCCGAAAUGUCCAUAUCCUCCAUUUCUGCAAAGAAACGCCUUAUCCUGUGUGCUGGGGCAGCAUUCAACAGGAAAACAUACGUGCUUGUAAAUUCAGAGCUGUUCCAG